CCCAACCAGACGGCUUGUUCAUUCUACGACAGAGGUGCCUCUACAUGAGAUGGUUCCAAGUCCAUGGAGAACUUGAACUGGAAGCCAUGAACUGAAGCAGACUUGCGGCCAGAUCAACCUGUCAGCACUGCUGUUUUCACAGUCCAGUUUCCAGCUGGAUUUGAACUUGUAGCUACUUCGUGGGGUGGACAUCAUGACGCAGGCCUUCGGAAAAGCAGAGGAGAUGAUGAGCCUGUCUGCCCGUCUCCCGGGCUCCCGGACGCGAGACACUACAGCCUCUGAAGAGAGAGAAGUGCCACUAAAGGCACCGUCAAGCCUGGCGAUAUCUAAGCAUUACAAAAAAAUAAAACCGCUCUACGUGAAACGACAGGCUGUGAGAAGCACUGAUAAUCCUGAGACACACGUGAUAAAAACCAACAGCAAAUAAAUCUUUCGUUGCAAUGAA